rnacentral:rRNA from 1 species
UACAGAGGUCUCAAGCGUUGUUCGGAUUCAUUGGGCGUAAAGGGUGCGUAGGCGGCGCGGUAAGUCGGGUGUGAAAUCUCGGAGCUUAACUCCGAAACUGCAUUCGAUACUGCCGUGCUUGAGGACUGGAGAGGAGACUGGAAUUUACGGUGUAGCGGUGAAAUGCGUAGAUAUCGUAAGGAAGACCAGUGGCGAAGGCGGGUCUCUGGCCUCUUACUGACGCUGAGGCGCGAAAGCGUGGGGAGCGAACGGG